AACGAACGCUGGCGGCAGGCUUAACACAUGCAAGUCGAGCGCCCCGCAAGGGGAGCGGCAGACGGGUGAGUAACGCGUGGGAACGUACCUUUUGGUUCGGAACAACUCCGGGAAACUGGAGCUAAUACCGGAUAAGCCCUAACGGGGAAAGAUUUAUCGCCGAAAGAUCGGCCCGCGUCUGAUUAGCUAGUUGGUGAGGUAACGGCUCACCAAGGCGACGAUCAGUAGCUGGUCUGAGAGGAUGAUCAGCCACACUGGGACUGAGACACGGCCCAGACUCCUACGGGAGGCAGCAGUGGGGAAUAUUGGACAAUGGGCGCAAGCCUGAUCCAGCCAUGCCGCGUGAGUGAUGAAGGCCUUAGGGUUGUAUAGCUCUUUUGUCCGGGAAGAUAAUGACUGUACCGGAAGAAUAAGCCCCGGCUAACUUCGUG
rnacentral:rRNA from 1 species